AAGCUAACUAAUAUAUUUGCUAAUCUUAUACCUAUCAAAACCGACUAUCGUUUAUUAUCUCUAUAAUAUUUUUACAAGACUUUUUUUUGGUGGAUUUAGGUAAAAGUGCAUUCGGGUUAUAAGGUAUAUUCCCGUAAUAAAUAAAUAUAGUGCACUCCUAUGUUAUUAGCUAAAAUGUUUAGAUUAUAAUUCAUAGUCAUGUCAUUAAUAAAAUAAAUGGCUUUUUGGUAAGACAGAUUUGGAGGGACGGGUUUUUGAAUAAACAUUAAUAAAAAAGUAAAAUAUAAUUAAUCCACCGUUUCAAUACGGGUUAAAUCUUUAAUUUAUUAUUUUUUAAGACCACUGAUAUUAAACAUAUCAAAUCAUCCAAAUUUAGAAAAGAUUAUAUAAAACCAAAAAUGUUAUGUGGUAUGUAUAAUGUUACUAUAUAUAAAAUUAAACUAUAAAAUAUAAAUGUAUUAGAGAAUGAUACAAUUUGCAAAACUUUUAUAUAUAAAAAAUAAUUCUUAAAAUUUUAAAAU
rnacentral:sRNA from 1 species